rnacentral:misc_RNA from 1 species
AAAGGUGCAAACGAGCGGAUUCAAGCUCUUUUUAUAUCCUAAGGCACGUGCCAUGGGUUGCAGAGAUAAGUUGGCUUGCCAAAGAUCGAAUGGAAUAGAGGCCUCUUCAAUCUUAUCCCCACGAGGAUACAUCACAUUAUGGUUGAUUACGCUUUUAUUGUGUGUGCAAGUGGUGUGGAAUGCAAAGGAAUUUAAUAAAAGAAAUAAUAAUAGACUAAAGGAAUCAAGUUGGAGUAACUAUCAUCAAUCCCUAGCGGAGUCGCCAAGCUGUAGGACCUUCGAACUUGGUUUAGAAUCAUAUUCCCAUGAUACUACCACAAUGCGUGGAUAUUAACGCCACAAAGGCAGAGGAAAGGAGUCGCUACCUAGGUAAUAACAGGGACAAAUUGAUAAAAAGCGAUGUGG